rnacentral:rRNA from 1 species
UACUUAGUGGCAGACGGGUGAGUAACAUGUGGGUAUCUACCCUUUGGCCUGGAAUAACACGAGGAAACUUGUGCUAAUACCGGAUAAGUCUUUACGGAGAAAGCUUUAUGCACCAUUGGAUGAGCCCGCACUUGAUUAGUUUGUUGGUAGGGUAAUGGCCUACCAAGACUAUGAUCAAUAGCUGAUUUGAGAGGAUGAUCAGCCACAUUGGGACUGAGACACGGCCCAAACUCCUACGGGAGGCAGCAGUGGGGAAUCUUGCACAAUGGAGGAAACUCUGAUGCAGCGAUGCCGCGUGAGUGAAGAAGGCCUUUGGGUUGUAAAGCUCUUUCGUCGGGGAAGAAAAUGACUGUACCCGAAUAAGAAGGUCCGGCUAACUUCGUGCCAGCAGCCGCGGUAAUACGAAGGGACCUAGCGUAGUUCGGAAUUACUGGGCUUAAAGAGUUCGUAGGUGGUUGAAAAAGUUGGUGGUGAAAUCCCAGAGCUUAACUCUGGAACUGCCAUCAAAACUUUUCAGCUAGAGUAUGAUAGAGGAAAGCAGAAUUUCUAGUGUAGAGGUGAAAUUCGUA